rnacentral:antisense_RNA from 1 species
UGUGGGAGCGGGCUUGCCCGCGAUGACGGAGUCUCAGUCACAUGGAUAUUGGCUGAUCCACCGCUAUCGCGGGCAAGCCCGCUCCCACA